rnacentral:rRNA from 1 species
AGUGAAAGAGGGCGGGAGUACGAACACAUGCAAGUCGAACGGCAGCACAGUAAGAGCUUGCUCUUACGGGUGGCGAGUGGCGGACGGGUGAGGAAUACAUCGGAAUCUACUUUUUCGUGGGGGAUAACGUAGGGAAACUUACGCUAAUACCGCAUACGACCUACGGGUGAAAGCAGGGGAUCUUCGGACCUUGCGCGAUUGAAUGAGCCGAUGUCGGAUUAGCUAGUUGGCGGGGUAAAGGCCCACCAAGGCGACGAUCCGUAGCUGGUCUGAGAGGAUGAUCAGCCACACUGGAACUGAGACACGGUCCAGACUCCUACGGGAGGCAGCAGUGGGGAAUAUUGGACAAUGGGCGCAAGCCUGAUCCAGCCAUACCGCGUGGGUGAAGAAGGCCUUCGGGUUGUAAAGCCCUUUUGUUGGGAAAGAAAAGCAGCAGGUUAAUACCCCGCUGUUCUGACGGUACCCAAAGAAUAAGCACCGGCUAACUUCGUG